rnacentral:rRNA from 1 species
GGGGCAACCUGGCGGCGAGCGGCGAACGGGUGAGUAAUGCAUCGGAACGUGUCCAUGUCGUGGGGGAUAGCCCGGCGAAAGCCGGAUUAAUACCGCAUACGCCCGAGAGGGGAAAGUGGGGGACCGCAAGGCCUCACGCGAUUGGUUCGGCCGAUGUCCGAUUAGCUAGUUGGCGGGGUAAAGGCCCACCAAGGCGAUGAUCGGUAGCUGGUCUGAGAGGAUGAUCAGCCACACUGGGACUGAGACACGGCCCAGACUCCUACGGGAGGCAGCAGUGGGGAAUUUUGGACAAUGGGGGCAACCCUGAUCCAGCCAUUCCGCGUGAGUGAAGAAGGCCUUCGGGUUGUAAAGCUCUUUUGUCCGGAACGAAACGGUGGGCGUGAAUAUCGUCCACUACUGACGGUACCGGAAGAAUAAGCACCGGCUAACUACGUGCCAGCAGCCGCGGUAAUACGUAGGGUGCGAGCGUUAAUCGGAAUUACUGGGCGUAAAGCGUGCGCAGGCGGUUUUGUAAGCCAGAUGUGAAAUCCCCGGGCUUAACCUGGGAAUGGCAUUUGGGACUGCAAGGCUCGAGUGCGGCAGAGGAGACUGGAAUUCCUGGUGUAGCAGUGAAAUGCGUAGAUAUCAGGAGGAACACCGAUGGCGAAGGCAGGUCUCUGGGCUGACACUGACGCUCAUGCACGAAAGCGUGGGGAGCAAACAGGAUUAGAUACCCUGGUAGUCCACGCCCUAAACGAUGUCGACUGGUUGUUGGGGGUUUGACACUCUCAGUAACGAAGCUAACGCGUGAAGUCGACCGCCUGGGGAGUAC